AGCGAACGCUGGCGGCAGGCUUAACACAUGCAAGUCGAGCGGGCAUCCUUGUGGUGUCAGCGGCAGACGGGUGAGUAACGCGUGGGAACGUGCCCUUCGGUUCGGAAUAACUCAGGGAAACUUGAGCUAAUACCGGAUACGUGCGAGAGCAGAAAGGUUUAUGUGCCGAAGGAUCGGCCCGCGUCUGAUUAGCUAGUUGGUGAGGUUAUGGCUCACCAAGGCGACGAUCAGUAGCUGGUCUGAGAGGAUGAUCAGCCACACUGGGACUGAGACACGGCCCAGACUCCUACGGGAGGCAGCAGUGGGGAAUAUUGGACAAUGGGGGCAACCCUGAUCCAGCCAUGCCGCGUGAGUGAUGACGGCCUUAGGGUUGUAAAGCUCUUUUCUCCGGGACGAUAAUGACGGUACCGGAGGAAUAAGCCCCGGCUAACUUCGUG
rnacentral:rRNA from 1 species